GCCUGAUUAAGCAUUGACACUGCAUUUGUCACCACCAGCUCUGAUGGUUUGGACAUGUAGAAAUGUAUUGCAGGAGAAUAUGCAAACAGCUGCUGUAAGGUGAGCUGAUCGGGACAACUGCCAGCAGGCAGAAGGGAAGGCAUAAUUAAUGGGCACCCUUCAGCAGAGCUCAGAGCAGACCAAACGCCAAUGCAGAAGGCUCAAGAAAGAGGCAAACAGACUAGCCACUGCUCCAGGAUGACUGUGGCUCUUUAUGAGUGAAGAGAAAGGGUGGAGACUGAAGACAGAACUGGGGACAGUGACAGGCUUGGGGAAGAACAGCUGAUUCAGCAGUCCCAAGGGUGACAUCGCAAAAUACAUGGGUGAAGACAACCUAGUGGCCGUGACUUGGAGCACCCUUCCUCACAAUGAAGGCAUUCUGGGCCAGCCUGAAAAACAGCAUGGAAAUAAAUCACCUAAGUACAAGGGACCUCGGUGACAACGCUGUGAACAUCUAUGGAUUCCGCAUUCAAGUACUUUGUCACAACUGUCUCCACAACAGUUUGAUGGGUCCACGUGCCAGCAAGAUAGAGAUACUCAUCAGGAAGUUGGCCAUGCAAGUUUGAAAUUUGAGAGAAGAAUCACAAAAAUGCAAAGGCUGUGCUCAAAUAAAAAUGAAC
rnacentral:lncRNA from 10 species